rnacentral:tRNA from 1 species
GAGGGUAUAGCUCAAGUGGUAGAGCGCAUGCUUAGCACGCACAGCGUCCUGGGUUCAAUCCCCAGUACCUCCU